AUUGAACGCUGGCGGCAUGCUUUACACAUGCAAGUCGAACGGCAGCGCGGGCUUCGGCCUGGCGGCGAGUGGCGAACGGGUGAGUAAUGCAUCGGAACGUGCCCAGUAGUGGGGGGUAGCCCGGCGAAAGCCGGAUUAAUACCGCAUACGACCUGAGGGUGAAAGCGGGGGACCGAAAGGCCUCGCGCUAUUGGAGCGGCCGAUGUCGGAUUAGCUAGUUGGUGGGGUAAAGGCUUACCAAGGCGACGAUCCGUAGCUGGUCUGAGAGGACGACCAGCCACACUGGGACUGAGACACGGCCCAGACUCCUACGGGAGGCAGCAGUGGGGAAUUUUGGACAAAGGGGGCAACCCUGAUCCAGCCAUGCCGCGUGCGGGAAGAAGGCCUUCGGGUUGUAAACCGCUUUUGUUCGGGAAGAAAUCCUCUGGGCUAAUACCCCGGGGGGAUGACGGUACCGGAAGAAUAAGCACCGGCUAACUACGUG
rnacentral:rRNA from 1 species